rnacentral:lncRNA from 1 species
AAAAACUAUCGAGAAUAGAGCCUUUCUUUUAGGCAUAGAAGUCACAUUAAAAUGAUACCUUUCGGGUUAAGCGAUUGAAGAGUGGAAUCACAACUAUUGAAUCUUGUGCUUAAGCAAAGAGACAAUUUCCUUUUGAUAGUACAAACGAAAGUAAUAUUGACUUUUCAAGAAAUAUGCCCAAAAUAAGUGUUUAGUUAUAAAGCACCACCACCAAUUUAAUAUUGAGUUUACCCUCCCAUUGUGGGGAUUUCACGCAACCAAUAAAGGCAUGGGAGUCUUUAUGCAUUGCUUGGGCUGUGUUAAGUAAAGACUAGCUAGCAAUGCCCUCGCUUAGUGCCAUCCCGAAUCUAGCAGCAAACGUACAAACCGUACUUGAAUUCAGAUCAGACCAAGCUCUUCUUUGUUUGAGCUAUUCCCAUGCUUUUCAUUGGUUGUUAACCAGCGAAAGUGUUAUAUCCUUCUUUACUACUCUGACUUAGCUCUCCAUACACUUAUAGAUGUAUAGAUUCUCAAUAAGAGAGUAGCUGUGAAAAAAGAGGCAUUCAUCAGUGUAGGAAGGCCAAUUGAGCGAAUCUCUUUUUUUUUGGCCUUGCCAUGAAGGAAAAUUCUAUGGUAUGUUAGCUAGAGAGGUUGGAAUAUGGUAGAAGGAGUACAAAAAGCAAUCAAAAGAAUGCAGGCAUUGGUAAGCCGAAGAUCUUUUGUUCGACUCGGUGAGCCUUCACUUUUGGAAUGUCUUUUGCCCAAUGCAUUACCCCUAGUAGAAAUAGGUUUUUCUGUUGAUUGAUUUGCGUGCUUCUUAAGCCAAUAAGUUCUGUUCCUUGUAGGUGCAAUCCAUUCAAGCCUUUGAAUAUCUUGUAGAAAAGAAUGUUAUAAUUGGGAUGGGUGAACCCCCAUAGAUAUCAGGUGCCCACAUAUAUAGAGUCAAAAGAGAUAUUGAGUCCUGUCAAGAUGAUAGAUCCUGUUGUAGGUGUGACUCUUCUCCCGUGGCAGUACGGGAAUUGUUGAGAGCUCGAGCUCUCGUCCCAUCCAAUCUCCCAUUGGAUAGCUCGUCUCCUCGUCUUCUCUGUUUCUUAUCUCUCGGCAACAUAAUAUUCCUCCCGCUUCUGACCACUUGAAAUCCAUAAAAUAUUGAGCGUUGGAUUAAAUUAAAUUAAAUAUUACG